UCAACACCGGCGCCGUAACGUUACUUCAUUCAGCGCAGCGAGCCACAUUUCGGCACCAUCCUCCCGGAAAUAAGGCAGAGUGACAGCGGCUUUAGACAGGCAGGGAGACUGCUUCAUACAACAUGCUGGAAACUCGGCGGAGAAGCGAAGCAGAGGGUGACGUCAAGCAGCUGACCUUGGGUCUGGAUAUGUUUACUGCUCUGUAAAGUGUCUGUCCUGGCCAAUGGUGAUGCAGCCCAUGUGUCUGGAAAAUGCUGCUGCAUUUGUGAGGGGCCACACCGACAUGCCAAUUUCCCAGAUUUCUGUCUGGAGUUGUCAACAUUUGAGCAGUUGAGGACCAGCACGGCUGGAUCCCUGAACAACAGCAACAGUCACAUGAAGGCCUCAGCGUGAAUAGGACCGGCCCAUGACCCAGAGCGAGACUGUAACUCAGAUACAAUGACCUCAUGAAGCACAGGGGAGAAAGCUUGUUCUGAAGCAAAGGAAACCACUUGCAGCACUAAGGAGAAACUGUUAAGAGUGGAUCAUCUGUAAAUAGCUAUAAAUGCUUAAAAAAAUGGAGGUAUAUAAAUGACACACUGGUUGCUUGGCGAUGAAAUUUUCAUCAUCCUUACAAUGACAGUGUUGAAAAUGUGUAAUUUAUGGGAUUUAAGAAAAACUGCCAAUUAACAGACAUUAAAGGAAUCAUUUGACAUUGUGGGAAAUAUGCUUAUUUGAGUUAGAUGAGAAGAUGGAAACCACUCUCACGUCUAAGUAUCGAACUGGAGCCAGGAGGUGUUUAGGUUAGAUUAGAUUAGAUUAGGAACACGCAUCAUUUAUUCAGAAAGACAGUUGAAAGCUAAAUGAGAGAUUACAGUGAGUUACAGAAGCAAACAUUAAUGGAACAGAUGCUAGCUGUCUAUAAAGCUUUCUAAAUAAAAGAUUGUAUCUGGUCUGUUACUUACACAACCAGAAAUGUGUAAAAUUUUAAGCUUAGCUAAAAUAAUCAUCUCCUAGGUCCAGCUCCAUACUUAUCGUUAUUCUCAUUUAACUCUUGGCAAGAAAGUGAAUAAACUUGUCUCGCAUUUCUUUGGGUUAUCCACAUUUUUGAUUCACUUAUAAUCAUACUCCCAAAAUUUAUAAUCUUGUACAAUGUUGAGUUGUGGAAUUUCUGUCAGUACCAAGAACCAUCCAGUGGUCAUCUAUUUCCACACUGGUUAAGGGUAUGGAAGCAUCGGUCAUUUGAGUUCAGGAAUUGUUGCACUGCAGGAGUCCUGUACUGACCUGUGCUGCGGCAGGUGUGUAUGGUCUGGUAGGGAUUCAGCUAGCACAGAUAUGAUGAUGGAAAACCUGAUAAUUACUGUCAUCUUUAUCCCAGGUAAGUAUAGCUGAGUGUUACUCCAUCACAGACGCUUGUCCAGGGAAACAGGAAUGGCUUUCAGGAGCAGUGCUUUCACCGUCAAGCUUCUGCGAUACGAAGGUUUAUAAGCCUUUAACUGGUGUAAUUUUAGCUUUCAUGCGCAUUUGAGGAUAGAGGUAUGUUGAAAAUUGGUACUCUGUGCCAAUAAAACAUUAAAACAAAGCUCCUGGCAA